GACGAACGCUGGCGGCGUGCUUAACACAUGCAAGUCGAACGGAAAGGCCUCUUUCGGGGGGUACUCGAGUGGCGAACGGGUGAGUAACACGUGAGUAACCUGCCCUUGACUUUGGGAUAACUUCAGGAAACUGGGGCUAAUACCGGAUAGGAGCUCCUGCUGCAUGGUGGGGGUUGGAAAGUUUCGGCGGUUGGGGAUGGACUCGCGGCUUAUCAGCUUGUUGGUGGGGUAGUGGCUUACCAAGGCUUUGACGGGUAGCCGGCCUGAGGGGGUGACCGGCCACAUUGGGACUGAGAUACGGCCCAGACUCCUACGGGAGGCAGCAGUGGGGAAUAUUGCACAAUGGGUGGAAGCCUGAUGCAGCAACGCCGUGUGCGGGAUGACGGCCUUCGGGUUGUAAACCGCUUUCGCUCAUGACGAAGCUUUGUGUGACGGUAGUGGGUAAAGAAGCACCGGCUAACUACGUG
rnacentral:rRNA from 1 species